GCCACAACAGGACCCACUAGAACAUGGGAACAAGUAAAAGUGAAAUAUAAGAAUAUUCUACAGAAUGGUAAUAUUUAUCACUUAUAUUGCUUUUAGUCUCCUGAAAAGAGACCCUGAAAUAAUCUGUUUGUUUAUAACAGCAACCAAGAAAAGGGCAGAGCAAAAAAAGACAGGUGGUGGUCCUGCACCCCCUCGUCACAUCCCGGCAGAGGAGCUGGCCCUAUAGGGUUGAAUGCCACCAGACCGUUGUUGAGGACAUCCCUGGGGGCAGCUCUUCCUUAGACGAGCAGCCGGGGUGCAGUAGCAGCAGCACCUUCAUAACUGGUAAAUGAGCUCAUAAUUCUAUUUGUACAAUGUAAAAUAUUUGGUUGUUGCCUUAAUUAAAAUGCUUUUUGUACUGUGACAUUUAUUGACAUUGUGGGGUUUUUUUGUGUGUAGUUUUACAUAACACCAUCACUUCUACCUGUUCCCAUGCAAGGGGUGACUGAAGCAUGCACAGUAAGUUGAGAUAGAGCGAUAUAUAUAUAUAUAUAUAUAUAACACACACACACAGUGUGGCAGGGAAAAGGGUCUGGGGGUCCAGGGAAAACAGGGAUAUACAAGCUCUUCUCCUCAGCAGAUUCCAAAUACACACAUCCUCGCUCAGCUUCACGGAAAACGGCGUCCAGGGCAGAUCUGUACACACACAGAGAGGGAUGUCCAGGUUAGAAACGAUCCACUCAGCUGGGAUCGGCUACAGGUGUGACGGUGUGUCGGUGUGUCUGCGUUACAUGACUGACACUGUGCAGCCAAACUUCCCACUCUUCACUCUCAGUCCAGGCAUAUCCCCUCUGAGUCUGCAGGGUAGCUUUGACACGUUCAUGCUGUCCUAUUAUGAUUCCUUCAGUGUGAACCUGCAGCCCAUUGUGCACUUAUGGCCGGACAUUAAGCAGGACAUCUGGACCAGUGUCUGCCUCACUGUGGACACCAGUAAGAGUGUGGUUCAGAUGUUCAGUGGCGGGUAUAUGAGCCCCAGGAAGGUAAUGCCUUAUCAGUAUGUGUGGUCAGGCGAGCCUGUGAUUAGUUUCCCAGGCUUUGAUGGUCAGCUGACAGACGUCCAGGUGUGGGACUAUCCUCUGCGAUAUAGAGACAUCAUCUACUACAUGAGCAGAAGUUAUUACGGGUAAGAUCUCUAUGCUGAACUCACACACCGACCGUUUAAUCAUAACCACAGUAUAAAAGAAAAUAUUAAAGAUAUAAUUUUUUUUUUUUUUCAUUU
ensembl:lncRNA